AAAUGUAGAAGAUGAGAUAACAGGGCUGGAAAACUAAGAUGUGACACUCAACUCUCUGGUGUCCGAAGCAUUUGUCAGGUUUUUUGUGGAGUUGGUAGGACAUUAUUCUUUGAACAUGACUGUCACUGAGCGUGGGGAGCGUGUUUUCCAAAGGGAACCAUUCCGUAAGUCCCACACCUCCCGAAGUGUACGCCACUUCCUGGAUCUCUUCAUGGAGACUCAGAUGUUUGCAGGAUUCAUCCAGGACCGAGAGCUUCGGAAAAGUGGAGUUAAAGGUUUGUUUGAGGUCCGGGCCAUCCAGUAUUUGGAAACAAUUCCUGAGUCGGAGCCCAGUGGGAUGAAUAGAAUUUUGCGGAGUCUUGGAAGCAAAAUGAAAUUUCUGCAAAAGAAAUGAAAUCUCUGAUUGUCUCCAUCCUGAAUAUACAACAGAAAGUGCCAAAGAAAAUAUUUUUCUAAGGGUCAGGAUCCCAUGAAGUAUUCUACAAAAUUCUUGAAAUUUUAAAAGGUUAAAGAGCGAGUCAGGCUGUCAGAGGAGGAUUCUCCUGUUGCUGCUGUAGUAAUCACUGGAGAAUUGUUGGGAAUGGUCUGGAACCAUGCCAUCUUUACUCUGUCUCCAUUUUUUUUUUAUAGCAGCCUUUUCUAUGUGAUUCUUGGGCUCAUUCUCUGUUUUGUGCUUUGUCUGUGAAAGUAGUUGUGUUUCACAAGGAAAAGCCUUGUUGUUGUUACAUUUAAAAAAUAGCUCAAAAAUGAGAAUAAUGAGAGAAAUGCUGAGUUUAAGGUAGUAGAGAGACAUGAUGGAAAUGGAGAACACUAGCCUUAUACACAUAAUUCUCAUCACUGAACUAUCAUGGCCCCUUUAAACCCAUGGGCUGUUUGACCUGGGCUAAGGAAUAGACUCAUCACAUAUCUCCAUUGUUUUGCCUUAUAUUAUAUCUAGGGGAAUCUCACUUAGGAGGAAGCCCUACUUGUAAUAUUAUAAGGUACUGUUAUUAAGUACCUUAUAAAAUUAGACAUCUUGCAACUCCUCCUCCAAAUUAUGUGGCAUUUGAGUAGUUUGCUUGUCCCUCACAUGUCAACAUUAAACUUUGUGGAGGCUGGAUGCAGUGGCUCACACCUGUAAUCUCCACCACUUUGGGAGGCUAAGGCAGGAGUUUGAGGGUGGGAGUUUGAGACUAGCCUGGGCAACAUAGCAAGAUCCCAUCUCUACAAAAACAUUUUAAAAAUAAGUAAAUAAAUUUAAACUUUGUGAAAUUAUAGCUAAUAUGAAAAUGUCCUUUCAAGGGCAUGGGAGCCACCUUUUUUAGUGUCCACCAUGUGCCAUGCACUGUGGUAUAUGUAUGCAUAUCAUCUCAACCAAUCCUUAAAUCAACCUUAUGAGAUAGAUAUUUGCAUCUCCAUUUUACUAAUAAACUGAGGCUGGGUGCUAUGGCUCACGUCUGUAAUCCCAGCACUAUGGGAACUCCUGACCUCAGGUGAUCCACCCACCUUGGCCUCCCAAAGUGCUGGGAUUACAGGCAUGAGUCACUGCACCCGGCCUGUAUGUGUGUGUUUGUGUUCUUUUUUUCAAACUCAUGGGCAAAUUCAAGUUCAGAUGGUGCACUUUUCAUUGAUUAAUGUUAUAGCAAAUGUCAGUUUGUUUUCUUCAGUUUCUGCUGAUGGUUUUAACUGGCACAGAAAGUAUUUCUUCAACCUUACAAAACUGUGUAAGUUGUAUUGUGAUACAGUUUAUUGACUUGUACAGUAUUGUCAUUACAACCCAUUCAGGUAUGCAUGAAUCUGAAGCAGAACACCAUUUAAGACUGGUGCUGUAUAAUAUAAUUCCUACAGAUGUGGGUCCAGGGAAUAGAACUGAGCCUGUCUUUUUUUUAAUGUUAAGCAGGUUACCCCCAGUGGGGCUUCUACUAGACAUCUCUCCAUUUGGUCUCUUCUUACACUCCAACCCAGCAGGAACAGUUAAUAAUUGGAUGUUUAUAAAAUGGGGGUAAAAGGGUUUACUGUGAUGGAUCCUGGCUAUCCCUCUAGGAGGAGACCUUUGCUUCAGCAAUGGUGUCUUCAUCCUCGCAGCCUGAAGCUGCUUCAUUUCCUUAGGUCUGUUGUGUUUUCUGUAAAGUGUUAGGAAUUCUGGAUAUUUUUGUAAAAGAAUCAAGAUUUGUAUAAAAUGUUUACAGAUCUUUUAAUGAAUAAAUACAUAAAAACCCCAC
rnacentral:sRNA from 1 species